CAUGCGCAUGGAUACUAACUGCUCUACACGUACACUGGGCCAUUCCAUAGUCUCGCAAGCAGACUUGUUCCCUCCCUCCCACGUCUGCUCGCGAGACUAGCCAUUCGAGACCACAUCAUCUUGCACUGCUUUGACGAAGCAUGGCAACCCUGUUCACUUGGACAAGGAGGGGGAGGUCUCUACUCUAGUCACGUAUGCACUGCAGAAGGAAUCACUCGACUGCAUGAGCGUAUAUAUUAAGUUCAUGUACUAGACCUAGCUGAUGUAAAUCCUAUUGCUUUAGAGGCUGCAACCCCCUUUCACCUCACUUUAAAAGCAUGCAAGAAGCUGAAAUGAUAUGUGUAGACUAGUGUAUACGUUACAGAGCCUAUAUAUAUAGUGUGGUCCCACUGUAGCUAGUGGUUGACUUGUGUUUUCUCUACAUAUAGUGAAGGGUUGUUUGUAUACCAUAUAGAGUACGCUGCUCCCCCCACACACACACAGGUGUUGAUGUCCGCCCACCCCACACUCCUCACAUUCCCCGACAUCACACAGAGCACCCCCCUCCAUCACACCAGUGCAUACUCCUCACCACACCUACUUCUAUAUCUCCAUCACACCAGUGCAUACUCCUCACCACACCUACUUCUAUAUCUCCUCUCUCACGAGAGCACGCCCCUGUCAAUCAACACCACCAACAGCUACCAACGUACUCCCCUCCAUUGUGCCGUGGCCUACAACAGUGUGUACAAUACAGACCUGUUGCUACGACGAGGAGCGGACGUACAGCUGUGCAAUAAUGAGGCCCCUAUUGAUUACGCCCACGAGCUGGAGAACGGAGAGGACAUGCUCGCAAUACUAGAAGGACUUUGAGUGGACUGAUGUGAAGAGUUCACGACCUCACAAACUGAACGAUUUAGCACCACCUGGUAGUAGAUUCUGUACCGUCUCGUAGCUCAAUUUUAAUAAUAAUAAUUAUUAAACAAA